CACGCCCGUUCGCCUACUACCGAUGGAUUAUUAGUGAGGUUUCUGAGGCUUUACCUUCGCGUUCCUUCGUAGCUGCAGCUGGCCAUGGGCUGAAGUUGAACCGAACCUUGUGAUUUAGAGGAAGUAAAAGUCGUACAAGGUUUCCGUAGGUGAACCUGCCGGGAAG
rnacentral:rRNA from 1 species